GACAGAGGAUGCAAGCGUUAUCCGGAAUGAUUGGGCGUAAAGCGUCUGUAGGUGGUUUACGUUUACGCCGUCCGAUCCAAUCCGGAGGCUCAACCCUGGACAGGCGGUGGAAACUACCAAGCUGGAGUACGGUAGGGGCAGAGGGAAUUUCCGGUGGAGCGGUGAAAUGCGUAGAGAUCGGAAAGAACACCAACGGCGAAGGCACUCGUGCUGGGCCGACACUGACACUGAGAGACGAAAGCUAGGGGAGCAAAUGGG
rnacentral:rRNA from 1 species